AAUAUUAUAUCAAAUCCACUUUGGUACUUGUUGUCAAUGGACAAAUUACUGUGGAAUUAGGGUUUCAAAAUCAAAAUUGCUAAAUCUAUCCCAUCUAUAUUAAUAAGUAAAUUUCUACUAAGGCACUCUUUUGUCUUACUGGGGCUUUUGUUUGAUUUGGUGUUCUGGACCUCAAUCUUAGAGACUUGUGUAUGUUAGGCAAAGCUUCUAUCAUCAAACCUUAUUCCAAUCCCUGAAGGAAAUUUUUAUUUUAAAAAAUGUCAAUUAAAGGAAGAUAGUCUUAUCUCUAUGUAAGAUAUAAAAUACAUAAAUGAACUAUCUCCCUUCAAGUGAAAGAUUUUUUGAAAUUUAAUUUCAUUUUUAAUUUAUUUUUAAACUCCAUAUUCCAUUCCCUGCUCCCCCAACCACCCUCCCGACUGCUCCACAUCCUGUAACCCCCACCCGGUCUCCACAUGGAUUCCUCCCACACUGCCCCACCUGACCUCUAAACUCCCUGGGGCCUUCAGUCUCCUGAGGGCUAGGUUCAUCAUUUCUGACUGAACACAGACCUGGAAGUCCUCUGCUGUAUGUGUGUUGGGGACUGAUAUCAGCGGGUAUAUGCUGCCUAUUUGGUGGUCCAAUGUUUGAGAGAUCUCGAGGGUCCUAUUGAUCCUCCUAGAGAGUCGCCCUCUCCUCAGCUUCUUUCAGCCUUCCCAAAUUCAACAACAGGGGUCAGCUGCUUCCGUCCAUUGGUUGGCUCAAGAUAUUUGCAGUAAAUAUAUGCUUCACUCUACUUUUACCCUGGCAUGUUUGUGUAGAGCUGUAUGUUUGUCUUCCUCACAUUGCCCUUCAGACGUGUAGCUUUCAUUUGAGUACUGGGGUGAUGUAAAACAUGUGAUUUUUCUUUCUACCAGGGAUCACUUAGCUCUACAGUAAAAAUUGUAAGUAUAGUUUCAUAUUCAGUUUUUCAAAAGACUGCUGAUGAUAACUGCCACUGGUUUUUAACCUCUUCUCUUAUAUGUGUUAUUACUUACUACAAUAGUCCAAGAUAAGGAUGAGAGAAACUCCACCAGGAACUUAUCACUCAAAUGGCUGUCAAAUACCACAAAAAAAACAAUUAUUGGAAGGAAAGACACAGUGUUUAUUCACCAAAAGUUCCAGGAAGUAGCAGGUAUCAAAGGCCUGACUUGCUCUCCCAGGAGAUUUCUCUUUGCAUCUUACCUCCGAUAACGGAAGUUUGUCUGUUUUUUCUUUUUUUCAAAUCUGUGAUAUAAUUAUCCACAUCAAUUUAAGAUAGUUUAUUCACCAUGGCCUUUGUAUUUCAUUUUCAAUGCUAUGAUUGUGUGAUAGAAAGAGAAGUGAAUUACUGCAGAAUAUAAUAAGCAAAUCCAAGUAAGAAUGACAUAAAAUGAACACACACAGGGAUUGUGCCAGCAUGCAACCUCUCCCUGACAGGAACAAACUUUGGCUCUAAGUUUAUUCACAAAUGAAUGGAUCAGAAAUACGAGAUACCCCAUAAUGGUAAUUUAGACAUGGUACUGGAGUACACGCUCAGACACUUUAUAACUUUGUUGCUUUUGAACUCUGUAAAUAAACAUCUUUACUUAUGGUUUAUCUACUUUAGGCAUUUGUAUGUAAACCAGUUAUACUAUUUCCUCUUCCAAAGCAGAUCCCACCACCUUACCUAGCACACUUCUCUUUGCCUAGCCUCCUCUGGGUCUAUGAAUAUGGCUUGGUUAUCAUUUACUUAAUGGCUAAUAUCCCCCUUUUAAUUGAACACAUACCAUAGUUAUCUUUCUGGCUCUGGGUUAUAUCACUCAAAAUGACUAUUUUUAGUUCACUCUGUCUGCAUAUGUCCUAACAUUUUUUAACACAUGAGU
rnacentral:lncRNA from 1 species